AAACCUGAGAAACCCGAAAGAUCGAAUGGGGAGAUUCAUCGUCAGCGAUUUCGGUACGUGUGCGUUUCGCGAUGUUGCGAGACUUCGGUCUCGCGGUACGCGUACGCAUGUUUUUUAUUGCUGGAAUCGUCGGCGUGCACUUCUCCCCUAGUAGGACGUCGCGACCCGUUGGGUGUCGGUCUACGGCACGGUAGGUAGCCUGUCACGUGUGGCGCUUCACGGCGUUCACGCGGGGCAGACCUCCGUUCGCCCGACCGGCUGCCCGGCGGUACUCGCAAGGUAUCUGGCCGCAGACAUACGAACUGCGUCCGGCCCGUCGCAAGCGCGGCAAGUGUCUCCCGGCUGUACGGAUCCAAUGCCGUCACCGGGCCUUGCCAGCUGUUGGUUGACGGUGUCCUAGGACUGGCUAACAGAUACCGGUCGGCGACGCUACUGCUUUGGGUACUUUCAGGACCCGUCUUGAAACACGGACCAAGGAGUCUAACAUGUGCGCGAGUCAUUGGGAGCUAUUAAGCCUAAAGGCGCAAUGAAAGUGAAGAUCGGCCUCGCGCCGAUCGAGGGAGGAUGGGCCGCGUCACGAUGCGGUCCCGCACUCCCGGGGCGUCUCGUUCUCAU
rnacentral:rRNA from 1 species